GAUGAAGAACGCAGCGAAAUGCGAUAAGUAAUGUGAAUUGCAGAAUUCAGUGAAUCAUCGAAUCUUUGAACGCACAUUGCGCCCUCUGGUAUUCCGGGGGGCAUGCCUGUUCGAGCGUCAUUAUAACCACUCAAGCUCUCGCUUGGUAUUGGGGUUCGCGGUUCCGCGGCCCCUAAAAUCAGUGGCGGUGCCUGUCGGCUCUACGCGUAGUAAUACUCCUCGCGUCUGGGUCCGGUAGGUCUACUUGCCAGCAACCCCCAAUUUUUACAGGUUGACCUCGGAUCAGGUAGGGAUACCCGCUGAACUUAAGCAUAUCAAUAAGCAGAGGA
rnacentral:misc_RNA from 1 species